UCUUAUUUGUGGUGGCUCUUUCAGACAUGCUCUCAGUCAUACAGUCAACUUUUCUCUCCAGCUAUGCUGAUGAUAUGAAAUAAUCAGAUGUAUCAUGCACCCUGAUGAUAAUGCAAAAUUACACCAAGACCUAAGCACAAUAUGCAACUAAG